CCCCCCCUUCUCACUUUCCCAGAAGGAUUCUGCCUUAAUGGGUCACCCAGAUGGGGCAACACAAGUUUGUCUUGUAUCCAGUCAGAGGAAACAAUG
rnacentral:snoRNA from 1 species